GGGGUGCACUCUUAUUCAUGGGCCCUUUCCCUCUAUAUUUGAACCCCAUGGACCGUCUCUCAAGUUGUUCUCUUUGGUUGCUUACAAUCCACCACGCUUCCCUACAAGUUCACGCCCUCGUGAACAGAAGCUGAGAGCCGCAGCUCUCCUGAGAGCCUCGCUCUCUUGACACCCUACCCCUCGGGUCGAGCCCAGUGGGAGCAAACUGGACCAGCCAGAUGUCAAUCAACAUGUGGUGCGAUUCCCUUAGCCAACCAACAGAGUCAGACCUGAGACCCGCUCCGAUACCAAAUGUAAGCUCCUGAGUUUGGACUUCCCGGGAGGUCGCCCAGCCCAGUACUAUUCAAACCCAAGGACGCUUAACUCCAAAUAUCCCAAGACCCUUAACCAUUUGGAAAAGGGGGUGCACUCUUAUUCAUGGGCCCUUUCCCUCUAUAUUUGAACCCCAUGGACCGUCUCUCAAGUCGUUCUCUUUGGUUGCUUACAAUCCACCACGCUUCCCUACAAGUUCACGCCCUCGUGAACAGAAGCUGAGAGCCGCAGCUCUCCUGAGAGCCUCGCUCUCUUGACACCCUACCCCUCGGGUCGAGCCCAGUGGGAGCAAACUGGACCAGCCAGAUGUCAAUCAACAUGUGGUGCGAUUCCCUUAGCCAACCAACAGAGUCAGACCUGAGACCCGCUCCGAUACCAAAUGUAAGCUCCUGAGUUUGGACUUCCCGGGAGGUCGCCCAGCCCAGUACUAUUCAAACCCAAGGACGCUUAACUCCAAAUAUCCCAAGACC
rnacentral:lncRNA from 1 species